rnacentral:rRNA from 1 species
GACGAACGCUGGCGGCGUGCCUAAUACAUGCAAGUCGAACGCAGUGGGGACGGGUGAGUAACACGUGGGUAACCUCCCAUAUGAGGGGAUAACACUUGGAAACAGGUGCUAAACUGAUACUGAUGGAUGGACCCGCGGUGCAUUAGCGAGUGGAUGAGGUAACGGCCUACCAAGGCCACGAUGCAUAGCCGGCCUGAGGGGGUGAUCGGCCACACUGGGACUGAGACACGGCCCAGACUCCUACGGGAGGCAGCAGUAGGGAAUCGUCGGCAAUGGACGAAAGUCUGACCGAGCAACGCCGCGUGAGUGAAGAAGGUUUUCGGAUCGUAAAACUCUGUUGUUAGAGAAGCGGUAUCUAACCAGAAAGCCACGGCUAACUACGUGCCAGCCGCCGCGGUAAUUC